rnacentral:ribozyme from 1 species
UUUUUUUGGUUUUCCCUUUUUUUUCCUGUUUUUUAUUUACUUAUUUUUGC